CCCCCGGAGGACGUCGCGGAGGACAUCGAAGAGCUCCUGACCUGGAUCGACGAGGAAGUGACGGCCAACACAGGCAUCCUGGACGACACCGCAGACAUGGAUGAGCUGCUCGCGUGGAUCAACAACGAAGAGAGACCCAGCACCAGCAGUCUUGCUGACGAUCUGCA